UACGUAGGGUGCAAGCGUUAAUCGGAAUUACUGGGCGUAAAGGGUGCGCAGGCGGCUCUGUAAGUCAGGGGUGAAAUCCCCGGGCUUAACCUGGGAAUGGCGCUUGAAACUACGGGACUGGAGUAUGGCAGAGGGAGGUGGAAUUCCACGUGUAGCGGUGAAAUGCGUAGAGAUGUGGAGGAACACCGAUGGCGAAGGCAGCCUCCUGGGCCAAUACUGACGCUCAUGCACGAAAGCGUGGGGAGCAAACAGG
rnacentral:rRNA from 1 species